AAUUACCAGUGAAAGUUGAUUAGUAAUCCGCCAGGAGCGACACCAGCGAAGCUCACAGCGUAUAUUAGGGAAACUUCCAAAGAGAUUUUUAGGUUAACAGCCGUAAUGUGAGGUUACGACUGUCAAGGACUUCGUAAAUGUAAACAAAAGUUGCAAAGCCGGCCAAAGCCAGAAUUUGCUCAAUAUCAAAGCCUUUUUAAUUCCUAUAAAGUUGAAAUGUUGCUUCCUCUGCAGCUUUGUCUGCUUAAGUAUAGUGUUUUUAACAUAAUACCACCAUAAUUCGGUCUUAAAUUUCUAUGAAAUACAGUUUUUUAGUGAUACUCACCAAGCAAAGUUUACAAACUUGUGAAUGUGAACUAUUCUAUUUUGUAUAAUAAAAAUGGUAAUGUGCUUUGUCCCGGAUUGUACAAAAUAUUGUGUUGUGAAAGAGGGAUAAUAUCCCUCUUGUUGUAGAUUCUUUGUUGUUCCAAAAGAUCUGGUUGCAAAGAAGAAUUUCAUUACUAAGGCACCCAGGAGAAGGGCAUGGCCCUAACUUUCAAAUAUGAGUAUUAUAGAAAAUUAACAGUUCCCCAGGCAACCAUUCAAUGAGAAUCGUAGAAAAAGUAACAGUUCCCUAGGCAACUAUCCAAUGAAAAUCUUAAGGCCAUAAUGAAUUGUAUCACCCGAAUGUCAUACUCUAGGGGUGAGCAAGUCUCUCAGGCUGGGUUAAUUCACUAUUGCCUAUUUGCAAGAGCAAUUGUCAACAUUUCUACAGUUCCACAGGUGACCAUAUUGUCUCUUUUUGGACAUACCAUCUGACACCCUCUGAAGAAGAUCUUGGGGUGUAAAUAACCCAGGACAGCACCGGAAGAAGCCGUCAGACCACAAGCUAAAUUUCUUAUUAAAAUCUAUAUCUUGCCUAUAAACAGAGACAAACUAUUUUUAUAUAAAAUAACUUUAUUAGUUCUAAAAUGUAGAUCUUGAAUUGUGACCAUAAUAAAAUGAGAAAAUAAAGUGUUUAUACCGAA